UGUUUAGGAUAAGUAUGUCCCAUGCAAUCCUUGGGAGGUACUUAUCCUAAAA
rfam:Myotis brandtii contig309247, whole genome shotgun sequence.